AUUGAACGCUGGCGGCAGGCUUAACACAUGCAAGUCGAGCGGGGGAAGGUAGCUUGCUACCGGACCUAGCGGCGGACGGGUGAGUAAUGCUUAGGAAUCUGCCUAUUAGUGGGGGACAACAUCUCGAAAGGGAUGCUAAUACCGCAUACGUCCUACGGGAGAAAGCAGGGGAUCUUCGGACCUUGCGCUAAUAGAUGAGCCUAAGUCGGAUUAGCUAGUUGGUGGGGUAAAGGCCUACCAAGGCGACGAUCUGUAGCGGGUCUGAGAGGAUGAUCCGCCACACUGGGACUGGAACACGGCCAGGACUCCUACGGGAGGCAGCAGUGGGGAAUAUUGGACAAUGGGGGGAACCCUGAUCCAGCCAUGCCGCGUGUGUGAAGAAGGCCUUAUGGUUGUAAAGCACUUUAAGCGAGGAGGAGGCUACUUUAGUUAAUACCUAGAGAUAGUGGACGUUACUCGCAGAAUAAGCACCGGCUAACUCUGUGCCAGCAGCCGCCGUAA
rnacentral:rRNA from 1 species